UCUGUCUGAUGAUGACAAGUUCAUGCACCACACAGAAAUAUUACUGUGUUGAUUAUGAAACUCUGAAGACUU